rnacentral:rRNA from 1 species
AUUGAACGCUGGCGGAAUGCUUUACACAUGCAAGUCGAGCGGCAGCGCGGGGCAACCUGGCGGCGAGCGGCGAACGGGUGAGUAAUGCAUCGGAACGUACCCAGUCGUGGGGGAUAACUGUCCGAAAGGACAGCUAAUACCGCAUACGUCCUGAGGGAGAAAGCGGGGGAUCGCAAGACCUCGCGCGAUUGGAGCGGCCGAUGCCGGAUUAGCUAGUUGGUAGGGUAAAGGCCUACCAAGGCGACGAUCCGUAGCUGGUCUGAGAGGACGACCAGCCACACUGGAACUGAGACACGGUCCAGAAACUCCUACGGGAGGCAGCAGUGGGGAAUUUUGGACAAUGGGGGCAACCCUGAUCCAGCCAUUCCGCGUGAGUGAAGAAGGCC